GACGAACGCUGGCGGCGUGCUUAACACAUGCAAGUCGAACGGAAAGGCCCUGCUUUUGUGGGGUGCUCGAGUGGCGAACGGGUGAGUAACACGUGAGUAACCUGCCCUUGACUUUGGGAUAACUUCAGGAAACUGGGGCUAAUACCGGAUAGGAGCUCCUGCUGCAUGGUGGGGGUUGGAAAGUUUCGGCGGUUGGGGAUGGACUCGCGGCUUAUCAGCUUGUUGGUGGGGUAGUGGCUUACCAAGGCUUUGACGGGUAGCCGGCCUGAGAGGGUGACCGGCCAAAUGGGGAAUGAGAUACGGCCCAAGCCCCCAGGGGGGGGAGCGGGGGGGAAAAGUGAAAAAGGGGCGGAAGCCGUAUGCAGAAACGCCGGGGGGGGGAGGACGGCCUUGGGGUUGAAAACCGCUUUCCCCUGUGACGAAGGGGGAGUGACGGUAAUGGGUAAAGAAGCACCGGCUAACCACUU
rnacentral:rRNA from 1 species